rnacentral:rRNA from 1 species
AGAGUUUGAUCCNGGCUCAGAUUGAACGCUGGCGGCAUGCCUAACACAUGCAAGUCGAACGGUAACGACGGGAGCUUGCUCCCGGUCGACGAGUGGCGGACGGGUGAGUAAUGCAUAGGAAUCUGCCUAGUAGUGGGGGACAACCUGGUGAAAACCAGGCUAAUACCGCAUACGUCCUACGGGAGAAAGUGGGGGAUCUUCGGACCUCACGCUAUUAGAUGAGCCUAUGUCAGAUUAGCUUGUUGGUGGGGUAAUGGCCCACCAAGGCGACGAUCUGUAGCUGGUUUGAGAGGAUGAUCAGCCACACUGGGACUGAGACACGGCCCAGACUCCUACGGGAGGCAGCAGUGGGGAAUAUUGGACAAUGGGGGCAACCCUGAUCCAGCAAUACCGCGUGUGUGAAGAAGGCCUGCGGGUUGUAAAGCACUUUCAAUUGUGAAGAUUGAGUAGAUAGUUAAUAACUAUUUACUUUGACGUUAACAAUACAAGAAGCACCGGCUAACUCAGUGCCAGCAGCCGCGGUAAUACUGAGGGUGCGAGCGUUAAUCGGAAUUACUGGGCGUAAAGCGCGCGUAGGCGGCCAAGUCAGUCGGAUGUGAAAGCCCUGGGCUCAACCUGGGAACUGCAUUCGAUACUGCUUGGCUAGAGUUUGGUAGAGGGUGACGGAAUUCCAGGUGUAGCGGUGAAAUGCGUAGAUAUCUGGAGGAACAUCAGUGGCGAAGGCGGUUGCCUGGACC